GAAGAGCCACAGGAGUAUACUUGCUGAAAGAAAGAGAUGACUUUUGAAAGUUAACCAAUUGUCCAGAUGCGUUCUCAUAGAUGAGAAGAAUACGCUUGAGCUCCAACGCCUCUUGAACAUUUGCUCUGAAGAAAAUCAAGCUAUCAUCCGCGAAAAAAAGGUGGGAGAUCUGCGGGCCACCCCGUGAUAUCCUGAACCCAUGAAGACUGCCA
rnacentral:lncRNA from 1 species